rnacentral:piRNA from 1 species
UUGAUAUUCGUGAACUUAGAGGAC